AUACAUGCAGUCGAGCGAUGGAUUAAGAGCUUGCUCUUAUGAAGUUAGCGGCGGACGGGUGAGUAACACGUGGGUAACCUACCCAUAAGACUGGGAUAACUCCGGGAAACCGGGGCUAAUACCGGAUAAUAUUUUGAACUGCAUAGUUCGAAAUUGAAAGGCGGCUUCGGCUGUCACUUAUGGAUGGACCCGCGUCGCAUUAGCUAGUUGGUGAGGUAACGGCUCACCAAGGCGACGAUGCGUAGCCGACCUGAGAGGGUGAUCGGCCACACUGGGACUGAGACACGGCCCAGACUCCUACGGGAGGCAUCAGUAGGGAAUCUUCCGCAAUGGACUAAAGUCUGACGGACCAACGCCGCGUGAGUGAUGAAG
rnacentral:rRNA from 1 species